GCAUGUGAGGGUGAUCUGGCUGUGACAUCUGUCACCCCAUUGAUUGCCAGGGUUGAUUCAGCUGAUCUGGCUGCCUAGGCAGGUUUCCCCUUCCUCCCUCACCACUCCAUGUGCGUCCCUCCCGAAGCUGUACGCUUGGUGGAAGAGGACGGCCUUCCCCGAAUAGAGACUGACCGGUCUUCGGUUCCCUGCUAGAACCUCCAAACAGGCUUUCAUGGUGCAGGCAGGGAGCCCCAGCAAUAACCCUGGAGGCAAAACAAAAAAAUAUGUGCUAGUAU
ensembl:misc_RNA 7SK 7SK RNA